UAAGUAAACCGGGUGACCGCUCUGAUUUGUAAAAAUCAGGGAGGAAAGUCCGAGCUCUACCGGGCAGGGUGCUGGGUAACGCCCAGGAGGGGUGACCCUACGGAAAGUACCACAGAAACAUACCGCUCUUUGUAUUAAGAGUAAGGGUGAAAUGGUGAGGUAAGAGCUCACCAGCAGCCGGGUGACUGGCUGGCUGGGUAAACCCCACCCGGAGCAAGACCGAAUAGGGGGGCUAAAGGGACGCCUGGCCCUAACCCCGGGUUGGUCGCUUGACCUUGAUGGUAACAUCAAGGCUAGAUGGAUGGUCACCGCUCCGAAGUUUACUUCGGAGUACAGAACUCGGCUUAUAGGUUUACUUAGCUC
rnacentral:RNase_P_RNA from 2 species